CAGGGAACAAGAUAAUCUUGUGGGGGUGGUGCCAGGCCAGUUCAGGCUCUCCCUCUGUCCCGGGUCCUGGAGCGGUCCAGGCUGGGCAUGUCUGUCACCGCUCUGGUCCCUCUUCUGCCCUACAGGCCACUGUUUGUGUAGGAUUGACAAGAGGCUAUUGAGCUCCUGAGUUCUGCGGUCCGGGCAAGGCGCCUCCUGGUGAUUUGGCGAGCUCAGCUCCCAGGUCAAGCAGGUGCCAGAGCACUGUGCUGUGUUUUCAGCAGUUCUGAGGGUGAGCGGAGCAGCGGAGCCUGCGCAUCUUCUGUGCUCUCUCUGUCCUGGUGACUUCUGAGUUGGAACAUGGUGCAAAAAUAUCAGUCUCCUGUCCGAGUAUACAAGUAUCCAUUCGAGCUGGUCAUGGCGGCCUACGAGAAGCGCUUCCCCACCUGCCCGCUUAUCCCAGUCUUUCUGGGGAGUGAAGUCCUGGGCGAGUGGCGGAGCACAGAUGGGGCAGUGCACACCGUGGAGCGGAGCUGCAGGCUGCGAGUGGAUGCCCCGCGGCUGCUGCGGAAGAUUGCUGGUGUGGAGCACGUGGUCUUCAUUCAGAGAAACGUCCUGAACUGGAGAGAGAGAACGCUGCUGAUAGAUGCUCACAAUGAGACGUUUGCGAGCCGAGUGACAGUGAAGGAGAGCUGCCGCUACACAGUCCAUCCUGAGAAUGAAGACUGGACUUGCUUUGAACAGUCUGCCUCCCUGGAUGUCCGCUCUUUCUUUGGCUUUGAAAGCACGUUGGAGAAGAUCGCCAUGAAGCAGUACACUGCCAAUGUCAAGAGGGGGAAGGAGGUGAUUGAACACUAUCUGAAUGAGCUCAUUUCCCAGGGAACAUCCCACAUUCCCCGCUGGACACCAGCCCCAGUCCAGGAGGAGGACGUCCGCAGCCAGCUUGUGCCCCAGUGCCCUAGCUCCCUGGACAUGGAGGGUCCCAGUGAUGCCCCAGGCCCUGCUUCUGAGAUGGCCAUAGCGGAUGGGGACAAGCUGGAUGCAGACUACAUUGAGAGAUGUCUGGGCCAUCUCAGUCCCAUGCAGGAGAGUUGCCUGGUUCAGCUUCGGCACUGGUUACAGGAGACCCACAAAGGCAAGAUCCCCAAAGACGAGCAUAUCCUGCGCUUCCUGAGGGCACGAGACUUCCACCUGGACAAGGCCCGGGACAUGUUGUGCCAGUCCUUGAGCUGGCGGAAGCAGCACCAGGUGGAUCUCCUUCUGCAGACCUGGCGGCCCCCUCCCCCCCUGCAGGAGUUCUAUGCUGGAGGCUGGCACUACCAGGAUAUAGAUGGCCGCCCCCUUUACAUCCUGCGCCUGGGACAGAUGGACACCAAAGGCCUGAUGAAGGCGGUAGGAGAGGAAGCUCUGCUGCAGCACGUUCUUUCUGUCAAUGAGGAAGGACAGAAGAGAUGCGAAGGGAACACGAGACAAUUUGGGCGUCCCAUCAGCUCCUGGACCUGCUUGCUGGACCUGGAGGGCCUCAACAUGCGGCAUUUGUGGCGACCUGGAGUGAAAGCCCUACUGCGGAUGAUCGAGGUGGUAGAGGACAAUUACCCCGAGACUCUGGGCAGGCUGCUCAUCGUGCGUGCUCCCCGAGUCUUCCCAGUGCUAUGGACACUGGUGAGAGCAAGAGCCAGAAGGGGGCCACAUAAAGGGUCAGCCCCUUCAUCAAUGAGAACACCAGGCGGAAGUUCCUCAUCUACAGUGGCAGUAAUUACCAGGGCCCUGGCGGCCUAGUGGACUAUCUGGACAAGGAUGUGAUCCCUGACUUCCUCGGAGGGGAGAGCGUGUGUAAUGUUCCAGAAGGAGGGAUGGUCCCCAAGUCCCUCUAUCUGACAGAGGAGGAGCAGGAGCAGGCUGACCAGCUACAGCAGUGGAGUGAAACCUACCAUUCUGCCAGUGUGCUCCGAGGGACCCCCUAUGAGGUACCUGAGAGGCCAUGAGUCAGGUGGUAUCGUGUUCCUUCAGGUUGGUUAUGGGCUGACUCCAGUCACUCAGUUUCAACUCUAUCCAAGAAGCUCUGGGACAUGGGAUGAUUGCAGAAUCUCUGGAUGCCUUCACACCCCAGGCACCUGCAGUUCAUCCCAGGUGACCAGGCCUUUCAGAAAGAGGUAGGGUUCUGGGCGGAGGGGAUAAUGGGAGAGUCUUAGCAGCUUAUCCUGACCACAGGGAGACUGCUUGAUGACCAGUGGGCAAUACCAUGCGUGACCUUGGGACUCUUCCACCUCCUCUCCUAUGAUGCAGGUUGCCAUGGAGAUACCAGAAGGGGAGUCAGUCAUCACCUGGGACUUUGAUAUCCUCAGAGGGGAUGUGGUGUUCAGUCUGUACCAUGCAAAGCAGGCACCCAAGCUCAGUCCCCAGGAGCCUGGAGUGAGAGCCAGUGGGCAGCUGAUUGACAAGAGCUGGAUCCUGGGGGUGGAUUACAGCCGUGUAGAGGCACCCCUCAUCUGCCGGGAAGGGCAGAGCAUUCAGGGCUCCCAUGUUACUCAGUGGCCUGGCAUCUACCUGCUCCAGUGGCAGAUUCACAGUUCCCCUGAGAGUGUGGCCUGCAGUCUCCCAGGUGUGGAUGACGUCCUGACGGCUCUGCACAGCCCUGGCCCCAAGUGCAAGCUGCUGUACUACUGUGAAGUGCUGGCAUCUGAAGACUUUAGGGGCUCCAUGUCCAGCCUGGAAUCCUGUGCCAGCCGCUUCUCUCAGCUCAGCGCCACCACCUCCUCUUCCUCCUCUGGCCAGUCCCACAGUGGCUCGAUGGUGUCCAGAUAACUGCUGGGGACCUGCUGGCAGCCUGCGAGCUUCUGGCAUCAGGUGGCGUUGAGAAUGAGAACGAAGCCCAUCUAGACACCUGGGACCCUGUUGGAUGCAGAUGGCGCGGUGCCACAGCUGGGGUGUGGUGAUCCCACGGCAGGGACCCAGAGUGCAGAGGGAGCUUCGCUUCACGGCUCUUGAGGAGACAAAGACAGACAGACCCUUUACUUCUGACUUUCUUUUAAAAGCCGAGACUUCCGGAUGUUCUACCUCUUGUCCCCUGGAUCUGGAGUCUAGGAUGGGACCAGGGCUGGGUGCCCUCUCACCAUUUGCUGUGACUCCCUCCUCAGGGAGGCGUGUUCUACUGUGGGGUCAUCACUGUUUGGUGCCAGGAAAGUGCGCAAGGGAAUGUCUCUUCCCCAAGUCCCAGGCCACUAGGAAGCUCUCCUUAGCCUGCGGGGGCCUGGGUCCAUGCUGAACAAUCACAGUUGCAGGGAGAGUGAAGGAGCACAUGUUGCCAGCAGGGUCAGAUGUCUAAUCUGGAUCAAUCGCCGUGAUUUGGCCAGCUUGGAUGACAGGACAUUUCUCAGGCCAAUCACGUGCUCUGGAAAGGGCAAGGCCAGCUGAAGGACUACUGGCGGGUGGGUGACUGGGUCGAUGGUCACCUUAGAGCUUAUUAUUCAGCUGUUUGUGACUGAGCACUGUCUAAGAAGCUGUGAUGGGAGGCAGGGCUCUGUUUCCUGCAGGAAACAGCCUCCCGUGGCUGUAGUUCUGUUUCCCCCUCUGUAGAGCGCUUAGCCUUAACCACCCCUGACUUGAGGAACAUAGGGAAGCCCAGGGCUUCUGCCUAGUUCCAGGCAAUGAUGGGGUGAUGGGGUGACUCCAGCCAUUCUUGUCUCCUUCCAGAGGUCUCCUCCUGGGGGGCUGCUCCCUUAAGCUUUCUUUCUGUUUUUUGUUUUGUUUUGUUUUGUUUUGAACUGAAAACCCUUCUCUCUGAGUGUUAGGCAUUCCUGCUCAGUCCAGGAGAACUUAGUUCAGGCGUGAUUGGAGUCAGAGUCUCAGCCUGGUGCAGGGGAUCCCCUUGGGGUGGAGGUGGCAUCUCUAUCCUGGAACUGAUCUGACUCAGGGACUUUCUCCAAGACUGAUAUGACUUUCCCAAACGCUCCAAGGGGGAGUAGUGGGCCUUCCUGGAGACCAAGACUUCUCUCUUUUUAUUUCCUGGAUCCACAGAAGGUGGUCACUGUUUGUUGUUGACUUUUGGCCAGUCUCAGUCUUUCUUUGGCGUUUUGCCUAGAGAGUGGCUUACCAUGUAGAAAUUAGGAUUGAGGCAUAGCAUGUAGAAAUCAGGAUUUCUGGUUUUCCUUAGCCCACACUAGUUUCCACCCCUGCCAACCAGCACUGAGCCACACCGCUGUCCUGGGUUUCUGCCCGACUGAAGCUUUGUCCACAGCUCCAGCCUGGCCCAGAAGCGCCACCAUCUGCUCUUCUCUGUCAGCCCGGCAUAGAGUUGGGAUCAUUUCUGCAGGUCAGCAGGCUGAGAGGGGUGGUUUCUGGCUGUGGGGCCCAGUGAGCAAGCAUGGACUUCAUGUUGUCAGCAACCCCAAGUCAAGAGCAGCAGGAGUGCCUCCCAGUGAUGGGAAUCGUGGUCAGAAUUCUGCCCUGUUCUGCUCUUCAGGAAAAGCAAUGGAACACGUGUGUGUGUGUGUGUGUGUGUGUGUGUGUCUGUGUGUGUGUGUGUGUGUGUGUCCUCUAGAGAGACAUUGAAAACCAGUUGUCUCCAAAUCACCACGAGCAGCAAUUAGUGAUAUUUUCAAUGACCUUUAUUAUUAUUAUUGUUAUUACUACUACUAUUAUUAAUUAUUUGCUGUUGUUGCACAGAGACUCAGAUCCAGGCCUUGGUCAUGCUGGGCAAUCAAUCACUACCACCGAGCCACUGCACGGUCCAUUUCUGUGGUGAUUGUUUUUGUUUUGUUUUGUUUGUGACAUGGUUUCCUGUGUCCUGAUCUUGAACUCUAUGCAAGGCUAAGGACGACCUUAAGCUCCUGAUCCUUCUGCUUCUGCCUCUCAGAUUUAGAGGCUGCUGGUGUGUGCCAGUGUAUCUAGCACAAGCUGGCUGCGCUCAUGCUGGGCGAGCAUUCUCCCACCCCGCCUCAAUCCGAGUCCGUCUCAGUGACCUUUAACUGCACUGCUAACCUGACUCUCCAACCAAAGCUUGACUCUGAGAAACGCUCAGGGGAGAAGCUGUCUGGCAGCCUUUGCACAUUUACCCUGCAGACACUGUGACAAACAGAGUGUAACAGGGCCCUGAAGGUCUCUUCCUCUCUCUCCACCCCCAGCUAAAACCAUUUGAUCAAGGGGAAUUCCUUGGUCCUUUGUUUGGGGUGGCAGAAAGGGGUCUUGCUGCAGGUAUGGCUGGCCCAGCAGGGUUCCCAGCUGACCUCAGGCCUCUUGACUCAACAUCUCUUUGCACACUUGCCUCACACCCUCUCCCUGCUGAGAGGCUGCUGAUGGCAGCUUCAAAACUACUCCGAGUCACAGAGUCUAAGAGAAAGAUGCCCCUAACUACAAUCUCCUAAAACAUUCUGACUGGCCCGGCUCAGGUCACACGUAGCACUACUGGACCAGCAAGGUCUGGUAAAUAGGAAGUCCUCUUGAAGAGGCCUGGGUUGUAACAGGAACAGAUGGCUGUGGAGGCAUCCACUGUGCCCUCCUACGUUGGCACUGGGGAAAGCCAGCAACUAAAAAUAGCCCAAGGGUGCCGGGAAGAUGAAUCAGGUGGUAAAAUGGCCGUGGUACAAGCAUGAUAUCCCGAGUUUGGAUCCCCAGCAGCCAUGUAAAAAGCCAGAUGCAGAGAUGCACACCUGUAGUCUCAGUGCUGGGUGGAGGCAGGAGGAUACCUGGAGCUCACUGACCAGCGUAGUUGAACUGGUAAGCUCCACGUUCAGUGAGAGACCCUGUCUCAAAAAAGUAAAGUGGAGAGCAAAUGAAGACACCCAACACAUGGCCUUCACACUAUACCACACACGUGCACAAAAUAUCCCAUAGAAGGGCCUGCCAAGCUGUCCACGGCCUUUCCUUUCCCCACACCCCAGGGCAGAGAGGUGUGUGGUGUGGGUUUCUUUCUUCAUUCUGUUCAUUUGUCCACUGUGGCCAGAUCCUAGAGCAAUAUGUCUAUAUCCUUGAAACCCCAGCCUUUCUUUCACUAGCUGUGAAACCUCGUGCAGGUGACUUGACUUCUCUGUGCUCCAACUUCCUCAUCUGUAAAAUGGGGUCAGCAGUGCCUACCUCACCAGGUGACUGUGGGACAAAGAAGAAUGUGGCUGGAAAGGCCUCCACAUACAGAAAGCACUCAGGGGAGCACUGCUGGAAUCAGGGGCGUUUGAAUUGAGUGCUUUUCUGCCCUGGAAUCCCGGACAUUUCUCUUAACUCUGAAAAACUAUUCAUUCGGGAAGAACCACGUUGUUCUUUUCACUGAGCUGGAGAACAGGUGCUGCUUAAUCUUGAGAUCUGACAGAAGCAUUAAACGCUUUACAUUUGAA